AAAAGAUAAAGUACAAGAGUGAAACAAGGGUAACCUAACGCUCAAAGUCUCUGAUAACUGCACUGCUACCCCCACCUACAAACUUCAUGGAGUCUACUCAAACCUGUCACCUAUACGAUCAGUGCCUACACCAUCAGAAUGGUGCACCAGGCAAACAACAACCUGGAUAAGUUGCGAAGCUUAUGAGAGUGACAAUAAUAUCAAGUAUGUGAGAAUAAUGUUAAUGCCAACCAUCAAACACAGUUUACAUAUCUUGAAUAUAAAUCAUUCAUAAGAAAUCAAUAUCAACUUUUGCAAACCCCGAAGGAGUCACCCAGACAUCCAACGGUUCAUCUAAAACCAAUCACAACAUCUCACAACCAUUUUCUCAUACAACACAAUGAAAAGUAGAGUUAGAGCGACACAGUUUUGCCGAAGCCUACCCCUUUGAAGCCAUCUCAAUUCAAAUUCAAUAAAUCCCAAGGUGAGUAAGAUCCCGGACCUUCACUCAACAGAAUCACGAAAUAUGAGGGAUUCCGGACCAUCGCUCAAUGGAAUCUGAGUGGAUACGAUUCCGGACCCUUACUCAACGGAAUCGCUAAGUACAAUACAUAACAAUAACUAAAUGAAACUCAAGUUAGAUACGAUUCCGGAACAUCACUCAACGGAAUCGCAGAAUAUAAGGGAUUCCAGACCAUCUCUCAACGGAAUCCGAGUGGAUACAAUUCCGGACCAUCAUUCAACGGAAUCGCAUAAGACUAACAACUGGAAUGUAUGACGGCUCAAAGAAAUGAGACAAGCACAGACUACUUAAUUUACAAAAACUCAACAAAGGGAAAUUAGGAACAAUUACUAAAUUUAGAACCAAUCACCGAAGUGGAAGGUGAAAAAAAUAUCGAAGCAACAAAUCCCUAUCAUAAUGGUUCACAGUCAUUACUAGUCCUCACAUUAAUCUCAACAUGCCAAUCAUACAAAUCAAACCACAUUUCCAAUAUACAUGCCACAUCCCAGUUCAUAAACAUAAAUUGAUGUCGAAGUAUUGGAAUAACCAUUCAAUAGAACAUAUUCAUAAAACCAAUUCAUAUCCACACAUGAUCAUAAUUAUGACAACCUGGUAAUUACCAAUAUCACAUAUAUUAAAGUCACUCACCUGGAGUCCGUGCUAAUGUACCCUAGCACGAUAGUCAAGGCAUCACGUUCUAUCACCGCCUAACAAAGCACAAGUCCACGUUUAGAUUUCCUUCGAUAAUUCACAUACUAAAAAAUUCUCAUAUGUCUCCCACAACAACAUUUAAUGAGGAAUCGAACCGUCAUUCUAAUGUAGGGUCCAUGAUCUUACGUCAUUUGCUUCGUAAAAUCCAAUCACUAGAUUUUCACUUAUAAGUCCCUAAGGUCCUUAAACAAUAUCUACAGUAGCAUAUUAAAAUCUUGUCUCAAUUCAAUGAUAAGAUUGUCAAUUGUUAGAAUAAUCAAGUGGCAGACCUUAUCGAUAAUAUAUACAAUCAACAACAUUUUCAUAAAUCGAAUGUCACAUAUCGGAAAAUUCGACUUUUUCAAAAAAUUCUCAAAUUUUACAAGAAUGAAGAUUUCAACAAGUAGAGUAAACUUUAUACAUGUGGCCGAGUCCAAUUUGGCCAGGAAGGCCCUCAAAUUGGCUCGCACCCAACGAAACCCUAAGGUGGGUGUUCUUCAAUUCGGCUUCCUUGGUGUUCCAACGCUCCAAGCACCAGUUGGGUCUUGUUCUUUGGUCCAAGGGAAGUUGAUUAAGGGUGAUAGUGAAUGGUGAUACUCUCCGGAAUGACAAUUCGUCGUCGAGAACCCCCGGGUUCUCCUAUGGAGUUCUACAUGAAAUAGACCUUAAAAACCCUUGAUUUUUGGUAGAAAGGGAAGGAGGAAGGUAGUUGAGCAAGUUGUAGGUGAAGGAGAUAGGAAAAAUCAGAAGAGAAAUGGUAGGCCUAAAAUUGGCCAGUUUGAAAAUAAAA
rnacentral:lncRNA from 1 species